UGAGGAAUAUUGGUCAAUGGGCGAGAGCCUGAACCAGCCACGUCGCGUGAAGGAAGACUGACCUUACGGUUUGUAAACUUCUUUUGUAGAGGGGUAAUGGCAGAUACGUGUAUUUGCGUGAAAGUACUCUACGAAUAAGCAUCGGCUAACUCCGUGCCAGCAGCCGCGGUAAUACGUAGGGGGCUAGCGUUGUCCGGAAUCACUGGGCGUAAAGGGUUCGCAGGCGGAAAUGCAAGUCAGGUGUAAAAGGCAGUAGCUUAACUACUGUAAGCAUUUGAAACUGCAUAUCUUGAGAAGAGUAGAGGUAAGUGGAAUUUUUAGUGUAGCGGUGAAAUGCGUAGAUAUUAAAAAGAAUACCGGUGGCGAAGGCGACUUACUGGGCUCAUUCUGACGCUGAGGAACGAAAGCGUGGGUAGCAAACAGG
rnacentral:rRNA from 1 species